CACGCACACACACACACACACACACACACACACACACACACACACACACACACACACACACACACACACACACACACACACACACACACACACACACACACACACACACACAGAAACAUGUCUUCAAUGACAAAAAAAUGUGAUUGAUUGUAGAUCAAAGCAACCUUCUUAAAGAAUAGCAACCCUCCAUUCUGCUGCUAAUCACAAACUGAUUGAUUAUGUCAGGAAACCUUCAGUGAUGUCCGAGAGGAGAUUAACAUGAGCUAAUCACAUGCUUUAACCAAAGAGCAACAAUUCAUCUGUGAGAGGGAAUACAAUCCAUCACCUAAAAACCAGUCCCGCCCACUAAGGACACACACACACAUAUAUAUAACAGGACUGUCAACAACAGUCUGUGUCAACAUUUGAACAAGAGAAGCACGUAAAACCCUCGACUUCUGUUUUUUAAAUCAAAAUUAUAUUUCUCUUGAUUUUUGGAGUUUAAAGGUUUUUUAAAUUGGAGGAACAAUGGGAAACGAGAACUCGAAAAACGAAGACCAAACCGAGGAUGUGAAUAUUUCAGAGAAGCAUCAGAACGGAUCAGUGAGCGGCAGCGUCACGCUGAACGGCGGGCCGGAAAUCGACGGUAAAGAUCCAGCUGUGGUCAAACAGAACGAAGAACCCGUGACUUUAAACCUCGCCAUCGACUCAACUGAAUGUGUGGUCAUCGACUCAGAGGCCCCGCCCAACACUGCUCCAGUCUCGUCUGAAAUCUCCGCCCCUCCUGAAACACCAGAGGUCACCAAGGAGCUCCUCGUUAGUGUCCAGGUUCCCCCACAAACCCCCGAUCCCCCCAAACAGAAGGAGGAAGUCCCAAAGAAAAAGUUUUUUGGUAAAAUGUUCAAAAAGAAAGUGGAAGCAGUAGUAGACGAGCCGAGUGUGGAGGAAACGACCAUCAGUGGAGACCAGGUGGAUGCUGGUCAGACCAUCAUUACCACACAACCAGAGGCUAGAGACCCCCACCAGGACCCCUCUCAGCCACCAACGGGACCAGUAGUCAGUGUGAUUUUUAACGGGGGUCCAGACCUUCAAAGUUCUCCUGAAGUCGACAUUGGAACCAGUGUCACAGAGGAGGGGCCGGAGAAGAGAGAGGAAGAGGAGAGAAACCAAGAGGAAAAACCACCAGUUAUGAACUUCUUUAAAUCUCUGGUGAAUAACACAAAAACAUCCAAAAAGGAAACAGCCACCCCUGAUGUAGCAAAAGAUCAGUCCCAGAAGGAGAGCCAAGCAGCACCAACAACCACCGUUGCAGAGGUAUCCGAGCCGCCCACACCACCCAAAGGAAUGUCAAUCCCUCCACCACCUCCACCAGCUCCACCAAAGCUGGAAAUCAAAGAACCAGCGGCUAAAUGUUUGAAACCAACAACCAAAGAAGAACCAACUGCUGCGAAGAAACCAGAGUCCUCGCCUGGAAAAUCAGCUUUGAGCAAAUUCUUCCGUCCAAAGAAGGUGGACCCUCCCAAAGCUGGCACUGUGGAGGCUGCAACGAAACCAGAACCGCCAGCAGCGGGUCAGGAAGAGAAGAAGACUGGCUCCAAAUUAGGCUUCAAGUCCCUCUUCAAGUCCAAAGUUCAGAAACAUUCAGACUCCGGGGGUCAGACGGAGUAAACGCCCGCGGAGAAAACAAAAUUAAAAAAAACCAUCGCCACCAAACCCUCAAGCUUCAACGUACUCAACUCUACAAUUCCUCUGCACUCUACACUAUAUCUGCUCGGAUCAUGAAGAAAAAAGCUAUUUAAUGUAAAAUGUAAAACUGCAAACACAAGUUUUUGAUUAGAAACGCAUGAAGAGGUAAAAAGUGUCUUCUGUUAGUUUUAUAAUACAAUAAACUGGGCUUGUGGUUGUAAACA
rnacentral:lncRNA from 1 species